rnacentral:rRNA from 1 species
AUGGACCUGUUCGUGUCGCCGGAGGGCGAUUCAGAAAAGAGGAUUAGCCAUGGGCAGAUGGAGGGUGUUGCUGUUGCGCGCCCUAUAGAGUCCCAGGCAUCUAUCAGCGUCGCCGAGGGCGACAUCCGCCGUGCCGGAGACCUCUACAGCAGCGGCGGAAAUGCUGGAUCUGUCGGCGAGGGUCCGCUUUUGCAAGUGUGCUCAGAGGCUACCAGCGGGUGGACACGCAGAGUAAGGAUAAGGAAAGCCCCUGCGGAGCGAGAGCUAAAUCCUAACCAGAAAAGUGCUCUUGAACUAUCGAUGAGGGCGUUCAUAAGUAAAUGA